rnacentral:tmRNA from 2 species
GGGGCUGAUUCUGGAUUCGACGGGAUUUGCGAAACCCAAGGUGCAUGCCGAGGGGCGGUUGGCCUCGUAAAAAGCCGCAAAAAAUAGUCGCAAACGACGAAAAUUACGCUUUAGCAGCUUAAUAACCUGCUUAGAGCCCUCUCUCCCUAGCCUCCGCUCUUAGGACGGGGAUCAAGAGAGGUCAAACCCAAAAGAGAUCGCGUGGAAGCCCUGCCUGGGGUUGAAGCGUUAAAACUUAAUCAGGCUAGUUUGUUAGUGGCGUGUCCGUCCGCAGCUGGCAAGCGAAUGUAAAGACUGACUAAGCAUGUAGUACCGAGGAUGUAGGAAUUUCGGACGCGGGUUCAACUCCCGCCAGCUCCACCA